rnacentral:rRNA from 1 species
UGGGUUGUAAACUGCUUUGCCAGGGGCUAAAGGCCCAUGCGUGGGAAAUUGAAAGUACCUGGUGAAUAAGCCACGGCUAACUACGUGCCAGCAGCCGCGGUAAUACGUAGGUGGCAAGCGUUGUCCGGAUUUAUUGGGUUUAAAGGGUGCGUAGGCGGCUUAUUAAGUCAGUGGUGAAAUAUCGCAGCCUAACUGUGAGGGUGCCAUUGAUACUGAUGAGCUUGAGUACAGAUGAGGUAGGCGGAAUUGACGGUGUAGCGGUGAAAUGCAUAGAUAUCGUCAAGAACACCUAUAGCGAAGGCAGCUUACUAAGCUGUAACUGACGCUGAGGCACGAAAGUGUGGGGAUCAAACAGGAUUAGAUACCCUGGUAGUCCACACUGUAAACGUUGAUAACUCGCUGUUUGCGAUACACAGCAAGCGGCCAAGCGCAAGCGAUAAGUUAUCCACCUGGGGAGUACGCCGGCAACGGUG